rnacentral:rRNA from 1 species
CAAGUCGCACGAGAAAGGUUUCGCAAGAGACCAAGUAAAGUGGCGGACGGGUGAGUAAUGCAUAGAUAACUUGCCCUCAAGACGGGGAUAACUCUUCGAAAGAGGUGCUAAUACCCGAUACUGUCCUGACCUGUCGGGGUUUGGAUGAAAGGAGGCCUCUGAUACAAGCUUCCGCUCGAGGAGAGGUUUAUGUCCUAUUAGCUAGUUGGUGAGGUAACGGCUCACCGAGGCUUCGAUGGGUAGCCGACCUGAGAGGGUGACCGGCCACACUGGGACUGAGACACUGCCCAGACUCCUACGGGAGGCUGCAGUCGAGAAUCUUCCGCAAUGCGCGCAAGCGUGACGGAGCGACGCCGCGUGGGUGAUGAAGGCCUUCGGGUUGUAAAACCCUGUUAGCUACUAUGAACCGCAGGUGGUGAAUAGCCAUCCUGCCUGACGUAAGUAGCAGAGGAAGCACCGGCUAACUACGUGCCAGCAGCCGCGGUAAUACGUAGGGUGCGAACGUUGUUCGGAAUCACUGGGCAUAAAGGGCGCGUAGGCGGUCCAUUAAGUCCUUUGUGAAAGCCCCCGGCUCAACCGGGGAAUAGCAGGGGAUACUGUUGGGCUAGAGUGCAGGAGGGGAGAGCGGAAUUCCUGGUGGAGCGGUGAAAUGCGUAGAUAUCAGGAGGAACGCCGGUGGCGAAAGCGGCUCUCUGGUCUGUUACUGACGCUGAGGCGCGAAAGCUAGGGGAGCAAACGGGAUUAGAUACCCCGGUAGUCCUAGCCCUAAACGAUGGGUACUAAGUAGAGGGGACUCCGAUGUUCUCUCUGCCGGAGCUAAUGUAUUAAGUACCCCGCCUGGGGAGUAUGGUCGCAAGGCUAAAACUCAAAGGAAUUGACGGGGGCUCACACAAGCGGUGGA